AGGUGGCCGCAGAGAAUAGGCCCAAGCGACUGUUUACCAAAAACAUAGGUUUCUGCUAAGUCGCAAGACGAUGUAUAGGAGCUGACGCCUGCCCGGUGCUGGAAGGUUAAGGGGAUCUGUUAGAGCAAUCGAAGCAGUGAACUUAAGCCCCAGUAAACGGCGGCCGUAACUAUAACGGUCCUAAGGUAGCGAAAUUCCUUGUCGGGUAAGUUCCGACCCGCACGAAAGGCGUAACGAUUUGGGCACUGUCUCAACAACAGACUCGGUGAAAUUGUAAUUCCGGUGAAGAUGCCGGAUACCUGCGACAGGACGGAAAGACCCCAUGGAGCUUUACUGUAGCUUGACAUUGGGUCUUGGUACUACAUGUACAGGAUAGGUGGGAGGCUUUGAAACCAGGACGCCAGUUUUGGCGGAGCCAUCCUUGGGAUACCACCCUUGUAGUACUGGGACUCUAACCAUAGGCCAUGAAUCUG
rnacentral:rRNA from 1 species